UAUAUUAAGAGUACUUAUUUUUAUUUUCUAAAUAAUCGGAGUUUUUUCAAUCUUAUUUUCUAUAAAUCCAAGUUCUUAACAAUAUAUAAUUUUGAGCCACAAAAAAAAAAUUGAAAUUGAGAAAAAAAUGAGAUCGGUUGUAAUUUGUUUGAUUAUUCUUAGCCUAUUUGUUAGAGGAUCCACAGCUAUGCUUAAGGAUUCCCCUAUGGAUACCAACCAAUAUUGCAAAGUUGGUUGUAUCGUUUCUCGCUGCAAUUUGAACACUAUCAUAGAAAUCGAGAAUGUGACGAAAGUAGAGAGUUGUGCGAAAGAAUGUGCUCAAGUGUGCCUAAAGUACUGAUGCUAAAGAAAAGAAGAUGAAGUAUACUGAGAGGAGAAAAGAAUUUUGCUUUUCAAGAUAUUCUAUAUAUGAAUAAACAAAAAUCAAUAGUAAAAAUAAAAACCAUUGGUUUAAACGCUUAUUCUUUCAUAUUGAAGAAUCUGUUUUGUUUUGUAGUUAAUUAUGGGCACAACAUGUAAAUAACAACACUGUUUCUCUUUUUAUGCUAUAUGAGAAUAAAGUGUUUGGUUAUAUUUUUCCUUA